rnacentral:rRNA from 1 species
UACGGGGGGGGUAAGCGUUGUUCGGAAUUACUGGGCGUAAAGGGCUCGUAGGCGGCCAACUAAGUCAGACGUGAAAUCCCUCAGCUUAACUGGGGAACUGCGUCUGAUACUGGAUGGCUUGGAUCCGGGAGAGGGAUGCGGAAUUCCAGGUGUAGCGGUGAAAUGCGUAGAUAUCUGGAGGAACACCGGUGGCGAAGGCGGCAUCCUGGACCGGUAUUGACGCUGAGGAGCGAAAGCCAGGGGAGCAAGCGGG